rnacentral:rRNA from 1 species
UACGUAGGGUGCAAGCGUUAAUCGGAAUUACUGGGCGUAAAGCGUGCGCAGGCGGUGAUGUAAGACAGGUGUGAAAGCCCCGGGCUUAACCUGGGAAUGGCAGUGGAAACUAGAGAACUUGAAUCUGGCAGAGGGGGGUGGAAUGCCACGUGUAGCAGUGAAAUGCGUAGAUAUGUGGCGGAACACCGAUGGCGAAGGCAGCCCCCUGGGCUGAGAUUGACGCUCAGGCACGAAAGCGUGGGGAGCAAACAGG